UCUACGGGGGGCUGCAGUAAGGAAUAUUGGUCAAUGGACGAAAGUCUGAACCAGCCAUGCCGCGUGGAGGAUGAAGGUCCUCUGGAUUGUAAACUUCUUUUAUAUGGGACGAAAAAAGGCCUUUCCAGGUCGUCUGACGGUACCAUAUGAAUAAGCACCGGCUAACUCCGUGCCAGCAGCCGCGGUAAUACGGAGGGUGCAAGCGUUAUCCGGAUUCACUGGGGUGAAAGGGUGUUGAGGUGUGAGUGGAGAAAUCCCCGGGCGUAACUUGGGAACUGCCAUUGAUACUAUCAGUCUUGAAUACCGUGGAGGUCAGCGGAAUAUGUCAUGUAGCGGUGAAAUGCUUAGAUAUGACAUAGAACACCAAUUGCGAAGGCAGCUGGCUACACGAGUAUUGACACUGAGGCACGAAAGCGUGGGGAUCAAACAGGAUUAGAUACCCUAGUAGUC
rnacentral:rRNA from 1 species